UCUUGAGUCGCCGCGGAACUAGCCGUGAGUGAAGACUCGCCCCUUGAUCGCCGCGGAGCUGCCCGUCCCUUUAAAGCCUCCAACCCUCACCUUGCUGGAGACUGCUGGCUAUGCAUGACUCUUGGAACUCCCAUGCCUACAGCUAUUCCGGCAUCCAAUUCCUCCAUCACUGAAG